rnacentral:misc_RNA from 1 species
GUUUGUAAGAUUAACCAUUAAGAGAAAUCAAAUUGUUAGAACUAAAGUCAUAAGUUUUAACUUUUUGUUAUGUGGUAGCAAUAAUAAAAAAUACAUAAAAAAAUAGAAAAAUGCAUGAAAAUGAUGAAAUUUUAUGGCAAUGAUCCUAAGACAUCAAUGAAGAACUUAGAAAAAAGAAAUAAUAAAAAAGAGUAACAGAAAAA